CAGCCCAUUUGCCCUCGCACCGCACCCCCUCCAGACCACCAAUGUCCGCCUACCACAGCAGCAACCCUGUCGAGGCCCGCCGCGCCGAGUGCGCGCGCCUGCAGGCCAAGUACCCCGGCCACGUCGCCGUGGUUGUCGAGGCGGCCGAAAAGGCCGGCAGCAAGGCGCACUUCCUCGCGCUGCCGCGCGACGCCACCGUCGCCGAGCUCGAGGCGGCCGUGCGCCAGGCGCUCAGCACCAGCGUCAAGAAGGUGACGCUCGCCAUCGAGGGCUCCGCCCCGGCGGUGACCGCCGCGGUCGGCGACAUCGCCGACGCCUGCAAGCGGGACGACGGCUUCCUGUACGUGAGCGUGCGCACCGAGCAGGCCAUGGGCGGCAUCGCCGGUCUCUGCUUCGCCAGCGACUCCGGCGGUAUGUAACCAGCGCGGCCUUCGCGCUUCCCAUCCUCUCUGUUCGUCCUCCCCUCACCCCUCCCCUCUCCUCCCAGUGACUUUGUCCUGCUUGGAAAAUCGCAGCGUCGCUGCCGUCUUCAUGUGUGAUGUUUUCUCGACUUAUCUCAUUUCGCGUGCAUGCGCGUGUGGCGCCUCCCCUCAGCCCAUACGCGAGCUGGUUCCUGGGCCGCAGUGUCUACGCAGGCACUCCACACACGCACGCGCGCACCCCUGCCCCGCCGCGGCGUGAAACUUGUGUGCCACCCAUGUGAACACGCCCUCUCUCUCUUUCCGUUCGUCAUCUUCUUGUGCUGCGGGGGUCGUGCUGUCGCUGCGCAGGCAGCCGGCAGCGCACACCGCCCUCCCUCCAUGUGUACAGCCCACUCGCAGUCCUAGCUGCCCCUCCCUACCCACCACCACCACCACCACACACACAAGCACGCAUACCUUGACCGCCAACGCCACCCCGCUGCGCUGCAGACGCCGUCGCGUCACGCCCGCCCUUCGCACCAGCGGCCCCGCGGCAGCCCCGCCGGCCGCUCUUGCAGCGGCGCACCGGCCCUGCAUCUGCCUGCUAUUGCAUGACCCCUCUCCCCUGCCACUCCUCGCCCUGCCUCCCUGCCUCCCUCCCCCUCUGCGCCGCGCCGCUGCACGCAG
rnacentral:misc_RNA from 1 species